rnacentral:rRNA from 1 species
GAUGAAUGCUGGCGGCGUGCCUAACACAUGCAAGUCGAGCGGUAAGGCCCUUCGGGGUACACGAGCGGCGGACGGCUGAGUAACGCGUGGGAAUUUGCCCCAAAGUGAGGAAUAACUGCCCGAAAGGGUAGCUAAUGCCGCAUAUGGUCUUCGGAUUAAAGGAUUUAUCCGCUUUGGGAGAAGCCCGCGUUGGAUUAGGUAGUUGGUGAGAUAAAAGCUCACCAAGCCAACGAUCCAUAGCUGGUCUGAGAGGAUGACCAGCCAGACUGGAACUGAGACACGGGCCAGACUCCUACGGGAGGCAGCAGUGAGGAAUCUUCCACAAUGGGCGAAAGCCUGAUGGAGCAACGCCGCGUGCAGGAUGAAGGCCUUCGGGUUGUAAACUGCUUUUAUGAGUGAAGAAUAUGACGGUAACUCAUGAAUAAGCACCGGCUAACUACGUGCCAGCAGCCGCUGUAA